UAAGGAAUAUGAAAUGUAAUGUAAUAUAAUAGAAUACAAAAUACCGAAAUUGAACUGAACGUAUACCAUAACCGUAAAGAUUAUCAUCCCAAUUACCCACUUCCCCGUCAAAGCAGACCAUAAGUCAAAUUGUAAAUAAUAAAUGAUAAAUGAUCAUAUCAGUGCAAAUGUAAGAAGGACCGAUUAUUGAAUGAGGUAUUAAGAUAAAUAACUAAAGCGAUAAACAAAUCAAACAUUAACUGCGUAGUUAAAAUAGAAACUAGAAAUAGAAAGUAGAAACUGAUCGCCAUAUGAGGUAUCAAGAAUAAAUAAAACAACAAAAUCAAAAUCAAAAUCAAAUCAAAUAUAAAGCACGUAUCUAAUUAAGCACCACAUCAUUGUAUAAUCGAACAAGUAAGCCUGAUAUUUAACAGUCAAACCAUUAUCCGUCAAUUGUAGAUAAAUUAAAUAGACACUUGCACAGAAAAACCAUUCAUCAUAAAAGAAAAAAACAAUAAUCAAUCUACUGGCCUUGAUCAAUCAAGUAAAAUGAAUAAAUAAACAAUUAACAAUAUUAAAUACGAGCCAUCAAUUGAAGAGAUUAUGAAAUUAUAAAUUACAAAUUAAGAAAUUAAGAAAAAGAGAAAAUGUGGAAUGUAAAGUGCAAUCUGUAAAGUAUAGUAUAAGGUAUAAGGUAUAAUGUGUAAGCAAAAUAAUCAGCACAAUAUAUGUGAUAUAAAACAGAAUAAGAGAAUAAGAUAAAGUAAAGAUACAGUGGAGUGAAUUUCAAAAUUUCAAAAUUUCAAAAUAAUAUAACCAUAGAUAGUAUAACCAUAGAUAACCAUAGAUAACAUAAACCAUAGAAUAGACACUUUCAAAGAUGUCGGGUGACAGAAUUUACAGAAAUAUAACCUUAGCCCUAACCCUAAUGUGUCAAACAAGGAAUGUCAGCAAGAAACCAGAACAGUGUAAGAAGACUCAUUAAGAAAACGAACAAGAACAAGAUUACCAAUUAAGGAAGCCUGAUAGUCAACUCAGAAAAGGAAACAGGCAAGAAAAGCACACUUUCACCCUGUUAUGAAAGAACUACACAAUACCAAUACCAGACAGGGACAUCAUGAAUUAAUUGAAUUAAAGAAUAACCAAAAAGAAUCAAAAUAUCCAAGGAUAUAUAACAGGCGACAAAUCAAGAAGGCGACAGUGAAAUAAAUAAAAUAGUGAUAGACAGUGAUAGCGUGACACAAAUAAAUUAAAAUAUAAAAUAUAAGUAUAUUAAAUAUAGAAUAACCGCAUAAAAGUAAACCAUAAAUAUGUUAAUAUAAUCUACAAAACUUUGUACCACCAUGAACAUACAAUUAGACUAAAUCAUAACAAUAGCUUCAAUUCAAUUUAAUUCAGAAGAAGAACAAAUGAGAGAAUGAAAGAAUGAAUGAAUGAACCACUGAUCAGUGAAGUUAUUAAUUCAAGAAAUUAAAUAAUGUAGUAAAUAGGAAAGCGUUAAGGAUAAAGUGAAAGCCGUGACCACCAUAAAUAAUAAAGUAACGCAGUGUGAUACAAUGCAAUGUGACGUCAUAUAACAUAAAACAAAUGAAAUAUAAUGAAAUAGAAUACAAAAUUCAAGAAGUGGGCUCACUAAAAUAUAACUGUGAAGAUUAUUAAUGAAAUACUCUAUUCCUUUACACAAGUAAAUUAUAAGUUAAAUUGUGAGCGGUAUUUGGUGAAUGAUAAAUGGUCAUGUCAAUGCAAAUGCAAAUAGAACCGAUUAUUGCAUGACAUUUCAAAAAAGUGGGUAAAUAGCAAAUAAAUCAAAUCAAAUGUAGACUGCGUAGUUCAAUUAACGCUGUGCUACUGUAUAGCGUAGAGAUAAAUAAAUAACUCAACAAGUAGAGUAUUAAAAACUAACAUUUAAAAUGGUGAAUUAAACAGAAACCAUGCACCUUCAAAGCACUUGAAUAGACAAAACCAUUCAGCAUCACAGAAAAAUAACAAAAUUAAGAUAAAUUAAAAUAAAUUAAGAUAAAGUAAGAUAAAGAUAAAUCAAGUCAAAUCAAAUCACCAACUUCAGCUGAUCAGAGUGGAUGAAUGGAUGAAUGGAUCAAGGAAGGAAGAGAGAAACAGCAGAAUACCAGCAAGUACAAGUAAGAAUCACAACCCCAAUGUGUCAAAGCAGUAUCAAAACCAGCAUGCAAGGACUAGUUAAACGAAAUAACAAAUAAGAGAGCUGAAUUGCAACUGAAAAGGAAAAGAAAAGGAGAAAGAAAGGAAACAAGAAACAGCCCAUCGUCAUGGAAGAGCAACAUUAUGACCAGAGAGAGACAUCAUGGAUAAAUUGAAUUAAAGAAUAUCAAGAACAUCAAAAUGUCCAAUGAAUAUCAAGAAUGCACAGGCAAAUCAAAAACCAAUCAACCAAUCAAAACCAAAUCAAGAAGCGAUAAUGAAAUAAGUAAAUAGCAAUAACAGUGAUAAUGUGGCACAGAUAAAUUAAUAUAUAUAAGUAUAAGUAUAUUAAAUUAUAGAAUAUAGAAUAAAGAAUAACCAUAUGGAAAUAAAUCAUAAAUAUAUUAAUACAAUCUACAGAACUACAGAACUUUGUACCAUCAUGAGUUAAAUAAAUAAACUAAGUCAUAACAAUUA